AUGAAGAAAAGACUUUGGCCGGGGAAUCCUUGUUGUUCCUUUUGUGAUCAAUUGGAAACAACCCAUCACUUGCUAUUUUUAUGCCCUGUCUCUAGAGUGGUGUGGAGAACUGUAGGAUCUCUACUUGAGACUCAUUGCUGUCCUAAUUCUGUUUGGCAAUAUUAUGCUUGGGUUUAUAGUUUCUUGCCUGGCCUUGAUCAAAUUUACACCGUUGGUUUGGUAGCUAUAUGCUGGGCUAUCUGGCUGGCUCGGAACCGGGCCACCUUUGAGUACAAAUGGAUUAACACUCCGUUUGAGACUGUGUUCACAACUUGUGCCUUUUUGAUGUACUGGGAAGGUCUCCAGAAACCUGAGAUGGAAGAGAUGGUGAAGAGGGGCGUGGAGAUGCUGAAAGAGAACACAACACAGAUGAUGAUGCUAUGCGGUCCUCCGGCUCCGACCAUGGACGGGCGCGAUGGGAACUGA
rnacentral:rRNA from 1 species